UACGAAGGGGGCUAGCGUUGCUCGGAAUUACUGGGCGUAAAGGGCGCGUAGGCGGACAGUUUAGUCAGGGGUGAAAUCCCAGAGCUCAACUCUGGAACUGCCUUUGAUACUGUCGGUCUAGAGUAUGGAAGAGGUGAGUGGAAUUCCGAGUGUAGAGGUGAAAUUCGUAGAUAUUCGGAGGAACACCAGUGGCGAAGGCGACUUACUGGACACAUAUUGACGCUGAGGUGCGAAAGCGUGGGGAGCAAACAGG
rnacentral:rRNA from 1 species